rnacentral:lncRNA from 1 species
GAGAAGAAACAUGCCAAUAAUCCUCAGCAAAAUGAUGUUCAACCAAUCAAUCAGCAGGAAAGUUGGCCUCUCGAAAGACAUGAAUUGGCUUGAAAAAUUUCAGAGAAACUAUUAUCUGCUUAAUAUCAUUAACAAGAGGGCAAAGAUGCUGUGUAGGUGAGGUAUGAGUAAUUCAGGAGAUAAUGGUUGCAAAGUCACCUUCUAGAAUAACUCGCUG